AGGGAUGUAGCUCAGUUGGUGGAGUCCUUGCCUAACCUACAUGAGGCCCUGGGUUCCAUUCCCAGCACUGCUG
rnacentral:tRNA from 1 species